rnacentral:rRNA from 1 species
GACGAACGCUGGCGGCGUGCUUAACACAUGCAAGUCGAACGGUGAAGGGACUGGUUUUGCUGGUCCUGGAUGAGUGGCGAACGGGUGAGUAACACGUGAGUAACCUGCCCCCUUCUUCUGGAUAACCGCAUGAAAGUGUGGCUAAUACGGGAUAUUCUGGGUCUGUCGCAUGGUGGGCCUGGGAAAGAUUGCGCCUUUUUUGGUGUUUGUGGUGGGGGAUGGGCGCGCGGCCUAUCAGCGUGUUGGUGGGGAGAUGGCCUCCCAAGGGGGUGACGGGUAGCCGGCGUGAGAGGGUGGACGCUCACACUGGGACUGAGACACGGCCCAGACUCCUACGGGAGGCAGCAGUGGGGAAUAUUGCACAAGGGGCGCAAGCCUGAUGCAGCGACGCCGCGUGAGGGAUGGAGGCCUUCGGGUUGUGAACCUCUUUCGCCAGUGAAGCAGGCCUGCCUCUUUUUGUGGGUGGGUUGACGGUAGCUGGAUAAGAAGCGCCGGCUAACUACGUG